GUCCAAUAUCGAGAGUUGGCACUGAGAGCUCGUCUCUUGUUCGAGAUGGAAGGGUCUGCACUAGCAGCCCUCUUGCUACUUCUUUAUUGGCUCGAUCCUUUGGCAUCGACUCCUUUUGGAUUGGCCUGAUCGUCGUCAUGGCUUGAUAUGAAUGGAGGAGUCUGCAAUGAAGACACGAAGUGUGUUGGUUUUGCUAGAAUUGGAAGUGAAGAUUAGAUCAUUGUGGCUGGUACAAUGAAGCAACUUCAAUUGCAUGUUUUUUUCCUAUCAAAUAGUACUGUAGGAGUGUGCAACUACUCAAAUUUUGACGUGUUAUUAUGUAAAAAAAUUAAACUCUUCAAUACUUUUUGCUGAAAGUAGUAACUUUUCAAUAUGUUGAAUAUUUAAGACUACUUGAAUACUUAAAGAACAUUUUGUUGUUGAUGACAAUGUUGAAUAUUUUAAACUAA